rnacentral:piRNA from 1 species
UACCUGUUCUGAACAGCAGAGGCAAGC